ACAUAAGAUGAGUCUUUUUUGGUAUAUAUAGUGUCUUGGUGAAUGUGGAACAAAUGGUUUUAAAACAAGAACGCUAAACUGUGUCUGGUCCAAAACCAAGCUUCACGCAGGACGCCAUUGUACCUCUGUGAAAAGACCAAAGACGAUAAAAUUGUGCAAAAUGGAAAGCUGUCUUGAAAAAUGUGCAGACAAGUCAGAAUAUUGCAGCGUUGUGAAGAUAAUGAAAUUUUGUAAAUUUACUAACUUUCGCAGGAACUGUUGUUUAUCCUGUCAGGGUUCUUGACUCCCAUUUAUUAGAUACUGAAUUACUAAUCAAGCUACCUCAGCUCAUAUGUUUGUUUUUAUUAUUGACAUAAUGUCAAACAUGACGAGUAAACUUAUAAUAUUUCCA